AGGUUUCUGCAGAAAUAAUUUAAAUUAUACAAAUAUUGAAACGGAUGCCAUUAGCACCAAAACGAAGACAAACGGGCUGAGACAGCCAUGGGCUCUGACGGUGGCUCUGUUCAUUUGGGGUAUGGUCCUUUCAGUAUCAGGUACUAUUUUCGUCCCAGGUUUGCAGAUGGGAAGGAAAGCUGACUCAUUAGGCUCUGGUCCAGUAGAGCUCUCCUGGGCAGGGUUAAGUUUCUCUUUUUGAUAUCUGUAGUUCCUCUUUUCAAAACUCCACAGCAAAAGGAGAAAAUCUGGCCCUGGCUAAACGGCUGGAUGAGUUUGCUCUCAGUGGCCUUACUGACCAACUAGUAUCUACAGCGAAUCACAGGCAGAGGCCACCAUCUGUCGGUCAUCAAGGAGGGGCCCUGUGAUGGUCUUCAAAGCCUUAUCCAAACCCCUCCUCCUGACACAGAUUUCUGGUUCUGUAGCCAAGCCUCUUGUCUCAUCCCUUCAAAGUCAGCGUAAGGUAAGAAUUUAACACAAGACACCGGGUUCAUUUAUCUCUGGGGCUUUUUAUUAAGAAUAUAAAUGCAGCAACAUGUCUGUCUGGCUAUUAGAGUUAAGAUUUUUUCUGUGGGUGUUCUAGGUCAAAUAUUUCUCCAAUAAAGGUUUAAAAUGUGUACAUCUCUCUGAGAUCUAAAAGAAUGUUUUAAAAAAUAGAAAACACUGUCUAGUGUAUCCCUGUGAAGAAAAAUGUGUGCCCCCCCCCCCAGUAUCUGUAAAAGAUUUGGAGAUCAUAUUCAAUAUAGCCUUUAUGUAUAAAAUUUAAUUGGAGACAGUUUGGUUCCAAAGGACCAGCUGUUAGAAAUAAAGCCAGACAUGGUCACUCACUCUGGUAACCCCCAGCAUUCAGGACACUGAAGCAGGAGAUGGUUACCAGGUUGAGGCCAGCCUGGGCGACAGGGUGAGACACAGUCUCAAAACGAACCAAAUAGGAGGGCUAGUGAGACAGCAGGAAAAGAUAUUUGCUGCUAAGCAUGAUGACCUGAGUUUUAUCCCUGAGGCACACAGGAUGGAAAGAGAAAAACUGCCUCCUCUGACACCCUCACACACAAGUAAAUAAAUGUACCAACAAUAUUUCUUUUAAAAAGGAAAAGAAAAAAGAAACGCCCUUUCAAAUGAAAUUUAAAAAAAAAAAGUUGAGCUUGAAAAGUAAGAAAAUUUUUAUUAGUCUUCUUAUCCCUCUAAAUCUUCAGUCUGCUUUUCAAAUACUGAAGCUUUCCUGGCUCCUACAUCUUCUUAACUUUAAAAUUCAUCACUGUAAGUUUUGACAGAUCAGUGUAUGUUUCUGUGGUUGUUAGCAAAUUGUUUCCACUUAUAUCAUUUUCUGUGAGAUAGACCUUUUAUUCUGGUUCAGCAUUCAGUGUUAUCAAAAUAGUACUAAGAAACUAAGACUCUGUGUGUGAGGGAGGGGGUAGGGGGAGAGGGAGGGAGAGAGAGAGAGAGAGAGGGGACAAGAACUCGUGUGCUUGCUAAAGCACAAUGUCGGGGGGUGUUCCUCAACCACUCUCCACAAGUGGCUGGACUGCUUGCCUCAGGACUCCUCCUGCCUCCGCUUUCCAGUGCUGGACUGCACAGUGUGUAUGCGUGUGUGUGUGGGGGGGGGGGGGCACACUCCCUUGCUGGCUUGCUACUUGCAGCAUCCCUUUAGUCUCUCUGGUGAUUGACACUGCUGUUCUACGGACUCACGUGACUGAAACCCUUCAACUCCUGCGUGGUGUGAACAGCCACUUCCACAUGCUCUCAGCAGCACCUGUGACGUUCAGUGGGGAUGGUUCACUGCCAGUGAAAGUUUCCCCAGUUCUUUAUUUUGAGAAGGCAGCCUGGAGGCAAAACCCUCUAGACACGCAGAGUCCGGCUGCUCUGCUUGUUAUAGAAUGAGGAAGAACUGAGGGCCAGAGAGCAGCGCACGCAGGCUGGCUCAGAGCUGGAGCACAGGCUCAGUCUCACCUCUCCAUCCUAGCUCUGGAAUCGUCCCCAUCCCCUCCUGGCCAUGGCCAACUGGAGAAGACCCCAUGAGACAAGGUAAAAGUGACACUCCUUUACGAUAACCCAGGACUGGAUACAGCUGAAGUGUACGGACAUUUAGGGACAUUCAGAUCCAGGAGUGAAAUGCACACUAGUGUGGGUUGUGGGCAGAGAAUCUACACUCCGGAUCCAUUUCAACAUUAACAGGUGCAGAAUUUGGAAAUCAGGAUUCCCUUAAUGUACUAGCUUGUCUACGGGAUCUAGCAGUGCCAACCUGCAUGGGUUUUAUAUACUUGAUGAUGGUCCUGGCCACUGUUUCUCACUGACACAGAUAAUCAAGUGAAUUGCUCGGCAAUAUGGGUCAGAUCUGCUGGAAAUUACGACCCCUAAGUACUUCCUAAAAGGAAAAGAGACUCAAAGAAAAUGCCAGGUUAGCACCAUGAAACAUGCCAAGCCCACCAGGCACUCCAGAGAACGAGGGCUACAGGAUACAGGCUCACCUUUCAUCGAGUGGCUUCUCCCAGGUAAGAGGGAAAGGAGGAAUCCUGGCUCCACCCUACACCACAGUCACUUCUUUUGUGAUAAAUUGACAUGAGAACACUGAAUUAUCUUAAAAAUGCUCUCUUUAAAACGGAACCAAAAGCUGAGAGCUAGUAAGAGACUGAUGUAAUCACCACAGAACUAACAUAGUACCCUCCCACCUCUGCCAUGCUGGAAAACAGUGCCUGUGAAUCUCACACAGGUAAGAAAGGUUGUUUGUUUAUUUGUUUGUUUGUUUGUUUGCUUUGUAUUGUUCUGUUCUUUUCAAGCCCAGAACAAAACCAACACAAUUACCUACUUAAAACAGGUUUCACUAAUCUCUUCAUUUCAAACAUUUAGAAAAUCAAUGAGAUAGAUAUUGAAUUUAGUUAGUUUUUUUUCUCUUCAGAAAACCUUUCGAGGAUUUAUCAGUUAACAGCCAAUGUCAUCCUAAAGAAAAUACAACAUAACACAAGCAUCCAGCACACAAAGAUGACACUCUUAACUACGCAGGAGGACCUACUUGUUCUGGGCAAAGGAAGGGAUUUAACAUCCUAAAACUAAAACUGGCUUUCUCUGCAGGUUUGACUCUAUACUUCCUGGUCCUUUUACUCUCUUCUCCAUCUCUGGUCGAACAGUAGAUACUACCCCACACAUCCCAGAAUAUUUGCUGAAUAAAUGAAUUCGAGUGUUUCCAUGACUCACAUUGGUUUAUGAAGACUCUUGACUCAUUUUGCUAAUUUAAAUGCUUCAAAUAAUUUUUCUUAACUGGGUCAGCAAAAAUGGUUAGUUGGACCUCAUGUCAUGAUUGAGAAGAAUUGGAGAAAUUCUUGAAUCUGUGCCAUGGUCAGUCUAGGUCAGUGGUCCAGGUCACACUGGAAGAAACAGUUCUUGACAUUGCCAUAGCAAAAAAUUUCCUUGGUGAAAGUCCCAUGAGAAGCUACAUUCUUUAAACCACAGAAGGAAAUGAAGGGCCAGAGCAUCCAUGAAUAAUUUUAACCCUGCGGUCUCAAUGAACAAUUAGAGCUGGACAUAAGUCCAGCUAACAGAAUGUGCAAAGAAUAGGAAGUCGUGCCUGGGACAUAGUCACCACCCAGAAUAGGACAUAACAGCACACAGCUCGAGGCACAACUGUGGUCAGGAAAGAAGAAUCAUGAGGGAUUCUCCACAGGAAACACCAAGGUGCCUGCUAGGAUUCUCCUGGGUGCAUUUGAGACAUCACACCCACAAGUUCCUAGGAGACAGGACCCAAAUUCUGUGAUUCCUUUCUCAGGAUGGUCAACCACGUUGAGUAUUGCUGAAGAAAAGACAAUAGUCCCACUUAAACUUCGCAAAAACAUGUAUGUCCUGUGCUUGUUCUUCAACAUGGUUUCUGACUAUGGAAGACUAGAAGAUUAUCUAUCCCUCAGUUACCACAAAGGUCAAGUCUGAAGCUCCUGUAUGGCAGCAAAAACAUACUCCCGCCAUCUAGCAAGUACAUCAGGGGAAGCAACAAUGUCCACAGGGCAGAGUGUCAGCCUCCUUGAAAGAGAGAAGCAAAUAAACUUUACCCAAAUCCUGCCCUGCUUGCCUGUCAACCCACAAGCACUCUGUUGGCUUCCCUUCGGCAGUCACUGCAGUUUCCUACCAUACAGCGCCAUCUUUUUCUACUUCAGUACUGCCAAUGCCUAGUGCGGAUCCUUACUAAGUGUUGAGGCAAAUGGAAGAAGCAAGCGCCAGAAAACCACAGAUUAUCAUUUACAGAAAGGGGCCAGAUGCUCUAACCAUUAUACAUGACUGUCCAUUUGCCAACCAGCUGCUGUUACAAACUUUUAUUAUAGAGAGGUUAAAAAAAGUCAUGUGAAGGAUUUCGCAGCUGCAAACCCUCGCCUUGCCCUGCCAACUCUUGAACAUGCAGAACAGGCUUUCCAGCAGGAUGGACUUGUCGCAACGUUGCUCAUAGGCCGGGCCUCCAGUGGACUGACCCACAGGCUUAAUUUAGAGAGUCAGGAUGAGCGGUCCAAAAGAAACGCUUGGGAAAUUGAUACGCCAACAGUCUCUAUAGGCUAUCCAAGUCAGCCAGACUCCAAAAAGUAGUCGUUUUACCAUAAAAUCAUUUUAUGGCUUCCUACCUAAAAUUUACUAGCUCUUCUGUGUCAUAAAAAAAAAAAAGACUCUUUAAAAACUUCCUUUCCAGUAAUCACUACACUGGGUUUUCUUCUUUCCCUGCAGUGAAGGCUGAGACUAACAUUUCACUCAGUCAGCACUACGCUUUCGCAUGCAAGUGUGGGUACCUUCCUGGAAAGUUCCAUCGGCUUCCACGGCCUUAACAUCUAUAAAUGAUUGGACUAAAUUUAUGGGAUACGAAACAGACUAGACUGCUAUUUAUUCCCCUUUAAAACAUUUAAAGCAUUUGAAAUAUUCAUUUAAGGCUCAGCCUUUACUUGGUAGAACUGGGGGGGGGGGGCAGGCGUUAUAAAAUUUCUAUUAAUUUGUUGAUUAAGUGAGAAAUCAUAGGAAAAAGUUGCAGAAAUAAUGACUCUCGUACAAGGAAUGAAGGGUUUUAGGCUGCUGGGUCACUGUGGUUUAUAGAUACUGGAGACAUUGGACGAAUCUAGUAAGCAUUAUUGACUGACCAAUGGCCCACAUCUGAAAGACACUGGGUCUGUUUCAACAUCCUGGCUGCAAACGCAGCACACACAUCUACCCGCACUAAGUUCAAAGGGAGAGCGAGAUCCAGGCAGACUCGCUGGACUUUGCAGAUUAUUGCUUCAAACUUAUUUUCACAAGAUGCCCCUUUGCUUCUGAGCCUCAGUGUGCUCUUUUAAAGCAAAGCUUAAAAGCCAAGCUGCUUUUGAUUCUCAAAAACAAAACAAAAACCGAGAAAUUCAGCAAGAGCGUCCUUUCCUUUUCAACGCUGGGAGACAGAGAGAAAGAAGGACAGCCCUGGCUGGGGCAACGGAGAAGAUGAAGAACUAGGAACAGGGUCACUUGACUGAAGCACCGCACAAAAGAAGGAAUUCUCAAUACCUACUUUGACAGACAGCAAGACCAACAUGCAGAAACACAAAUACAGGAAAAUACCUUAUCAGAGUAUUCAAUGGAACAUGCCUAAGCCACGUGAAACUGCAUGCGGACUCUGACCUCUGAUGUUAGCCAUAGCAGACUUACUUGUAAUGGCAUUCCUUCACAUGCAGACAACACGAAACAUUCAAUGGUAAUAUCAUCAAGACAUCAAUCUUUAAAUACAGACCUAAUGAUGUUUAUAUUAGAUGCAACAAAAGACACGGCAUUAAACAGGCAUGAAGAAUGAAAUUGUCAACGCUUUCCCAUGAGUAAACUGUAUGGCUACGGAUGUGACAAACUCCAACUCCAGACAAGGCUGGUGGCUUUGACAGUCUCUCCACAGGGGCAUUAUUUUAUCAAGCUCAGUCAUUUUCCAGUUAGCACCUGAUGUUUUCUCUGGGGUUCAAUGUGCUUCAGUGGCCUGAAUACAGGCUGUGGGCUCAACACUAUGCCUUGAAUCUUGGCAUCAAGAGCCGUGUCCAGCAACUCAGUCAGAGGCUCAACCUCCACCCCCAUGAAUGACUUACCAAUGACAUGUAACUUAAAGGGAACAACUAAGUUAUUACAACUAAGCCAGAGGUUAGAGAAAUGAGCUCAUGAACUCGACUACUGUGUUAUACAACAGAAGGUACGGGUGAUCUUGAAGAAUCUUUGGAUUACAAGAUGUGAAACUGCAUUUAACAGAGCCUUAAAGUUGCACACACUUCUUUAUAUCCAGAUUCUCUGUAAGUGGCUGUGAUCCUGUUGCUCACAAUGAGCAGGUGUACUGUUUUGGGAAGGCCAUCAUUACUGGAUGUCUUAUAGCAUGCUUCACCGCUGUAACUUGGCUGUGGGGCUGGAUCAGGAAGGAGGAGGGCACAGUGUGAUGGAACUGAAACAGAUUACACCAAAGAGUCUGCGCAGUAAGGAUGAAGAAAGGAGACAGGAUUAGAUUUCCAGUAGGGUGGGGAGCAUUUCAUGGGCUGCAAGGAAUUCCAAAGCAAUUAGGUUCUUGCUUCAUUGCCAGGCUUCUAUGAAUCUGGUGAGGACCAAGAGCACUCAGGAGUAUGAGAAUCAUGGGCAAACAAAGGUCUUGUGCAUUUCCACGAGGCCCCUCAGCUCCUAGGUGCCCUAGUACUAGCAAGGAAGGUUGACGAUUUGCAGGAUGGUUAGGAGGUGGGCACAACAGAGGGUUUGGUACGUCGAGGCACCAGUGAGAGUUUAGCUUGUGUUAAAUCAGAGACAGGGGGAUCACUAGCUUCCCAAUGACUGGAUCAGGACACAGGCUUAGGCAGAAGCACUGAAGCGAGACACUUUGCUGUGUGGCUGGAGCUGAACGGCGUCACCCUCUCCAAACUGAGCCGAGCAGGAAUCGGAUGGGCACCAGCAUGCGACUCAGCUGUCCUAAUCCCAGACAUUUGUUCCAUGCCCUAAGAAGUUCUAAGGGAGCUAAGAAGCAAAUGGCACAGGGGGUUCACUAGAACAUUAGCCUUACAGUGGGAGGGAUGACUUCUUAACUGAAGACAGGCUUCCUCCAUGCUGAUGUGCUACACCCAGAUAAAUUACUGUAUCCGUUUGCUACUGUUAGAGCCCAGGG